AUGGCCGAAUCAUCGGAGGAGAUCAAGUCCAUGCUCUCGUCCCUGCUCACCCGCUUCGACGAGAGCAAAAUCGCAGGCGAUAAGCAAACGGAGGCGCAGCUCGCCUUCAACAAGCAGGUCACCGUCGAUCUCGCGCACCUGCGCCGGCAGGUGGAUCUGACGCAGGCAGACGUCGACGAGGUUCGUCAGCAGCGCGACACCGCACCACCACCACCAGCGACUUCGCCGCACGGCCGACCACCAAGUACACCCCGGGGGGGCCCCCUCACCGGCUCCUCGGCGGCACCGGCGGAUCUACACGCGCCGCAACCCCGCCUCGUCAACAAUGGCCCUCCUCUGCUUCAACUCAGACACGAAGGCGGGCGUGUGGACGGCCCACACCACGGGGACUUUCCCCCGGGCCACCACGACAUGGAGCUGCCACGGCCAGAGGAGUACUUCACCAAGCCUCCCAAGCAUGAUUUUCCAAAGUUCGACGGCUCCGCGCCGUACCUAUGGAUCGAUCGCUGCGUCGCCUACUUCGAGCUGUACCGCGUGCCGCCACACAACUGGGUGACCACGGCGACGCUGUACAUCGAAGGACAGGCAGCCCACUGGCUUCAGGCGUACCGUCAGGCUCAUCGUGCUCUGGGCUGGGACGCCUUCUGCGUGGCGAUCCGCGAAGAAUUUGGGGCGGAGGAGUUCGAACUGGAGAUGAAUCAGCUGCUGCAUCUACGGCAAACCAGCACGAUGGCGGAGUAUCGAUCGGCCUUUGAAGCUCACAUGUACCAUCUACUCGCCCUCGAUGCCUCGCUGAGCCCGCGCUUCUUCGUCACCCAGUUCCUCCUCGGAUUACGGGACGAUCUUCGCGCAGCGGUACGCCUUCAGGCUCCGACCAGCAUCACGCGCGCUUCGGUGCUGGCUCGCAUCCAGGAGGAAGAAAACGACGUGCGCCGCCCACGCCCUCGACCGAUCCCAGCCGGGCGCCCCCCGCCUCUGCCCGCCGCGAUUCCCCCGCGAUCACCCGCAGCGGCAGCGGUGGCUCGGCCGGCCAGCGACGAGUUCGCCCGCGAGCGUCAACUCCGCGACUUCCGGCGUGCCAACGGGCUCUGUUUCAAGUGCGGCGAUAGAUACUCCCGCGAGCAUUGUUGCAAGCAACAGACGCAAUUGCUCACCAUCCAAGUGGGCGACUACGGCGAGGUGCUCACUGACGAUGCCAUGCAUGCACUCGACCUGUUGGACGCACCGGAGCCGGCGCAACCUGCACCAGAGUGUUGCCUCAUCUCCACUCAUGCGGUCUCUGGCGGGGACUCACCGCGCACUAUCCGCCUUCGCGCCAUGGUGGGAAAUCAGGUGAUGCUGCUGCUCGUGGACUCGGGCAGCACACACAGCUUCAUAUCCCAGGCGUUCGCGGAACGGAUCAAGGCCACUGGCAUACCUCUGCCGCCCGUGGAAGUGCGUGUCGCCAAUGGGGAGCGCCUGGUUUGCGACAGCAUGAUCCCGGCUGUCCAGUGGUGGUGCCAAGGACACACAUUCAGUACGGACAUGCUCCAGCUUGCGCUCGGGGCAUACGACGGCGUGCUGGGCAUGGACUGGCUCGAACAAAACAGCCCCAUGAACUGUCACUGGCUGGACAAGACCAUCUCCUUCGCGCACCAGGGCAAGACCGUCACACUGCAGGGCGUUCGACCCAAGGGCACAACUGCCAACAUCGACUACAUCGAGCCGGAUCAGUUCGCCAAGUGGCACGCCGGGAACGAUAUCUGGUACAUGGCAGUCGUGGACUGGCGGGCGCCGAGCACGGACAAGGACAAACCACCUCCACCAGCAGUGCAAGCGGUCCUCGAGGACUUUGCCGACGUAUUUGGCGACCCCAAGAAACUGCCACCACACCGGCAGUAUGAUCAUGCCGUCACCCUGGUGGAAGGCGCACCACCGGCGAACGGGCGGCCGUACCGGUACUCGCCGUUGCAAAAGGAUGAGAUCGAGUGCCAAGUCGACGAAAUGCUGCAGUCCGGCGUCAUCACCCACAGCGUGAGUCCCUUCGCGGCACCAGUUCUCCUCGUCAAGAAGAAGGACGGGACUUGGCGUUUCUGCAUCGAUUACAGGCGGCUCAACGACAUCACCAUCAAGAACCAGUUUCCCUUGCCGAUCGUCGACGAACUGCUCGACGAACUGGCCGGCGCGGCUUACUUCUCCAAACUCGACCUCCGCGCCGGCUAUCACCAAAUCCGUAUGCGAGAAGAAGACGAGCACAAGACCGCGUUUAAAACGCACCAUGGCCACUUUCAGUUUCGAGUAAUGCCGUUCGGCCUGACGAACGCACCGGCAACCUUCCAGUGCCUGAUGAAUGCAAUCUUCGGCAAGCACGCGCGCAAGUUCGUCAUCGUCUUCCUCGACGACAUUCUGGUCUUCAGUGGCACCCUGGAAGAGCACGUCGAGCAUCUGAGGCAAGUGUUUGAGCUCCUUCGUCAGCAUGAAUUGUUCGUCAAGGCCUCGAAGUGUUCCUUUACGCAGGAUAGCAUUGAGUACCUGGGGCACAUCAUCUCCAAGGAAGGAGUGGCCACGGACGCCGACAAGACCCAGGCGAUGCUGCAGUGGCCGGUGCCCACGACAGCCACUGAACUCCGCGGGUUCCUCGGUUUAACGGGCUACUACAGAAAGUUUGUAGCACGCUAUGGCAUCAUUGCCAAGCCGCUCACCAACUUACUGAUGAAGAAGGGCUUCACCUGGUCUGAACAAGCACAAACGGCAUUCGAUCUGCUCAAGCGCGCCAUGGCAAGCACACCUGUUCUCGCGCUGCCGGACUUUGACAAGCCGUUCGUAGUCGAGACCGACGCAUGUGACACUGGCAUCGGCGCGGUGCUCGUCCAGGAGGGUCAUCCGGUGGCAUAUUUCAGCAAGGCUCUGGGUGUUCGGAAUCAAAAACUGUCUGCAUAUGAGAAAGAGUUUCUUGCAGUGAUGAUGGCCGUGGAGAAGUGGCGUGCUUAUCUUCAGCGCGGGCCAUUCACCAUCCUUACAGAUCACAAAAGCCUGUCCAAUUUGGGGGACCAACAACUGGAGACAGAUCUGCAACGCAAGGCUAUGUCCAAACUAGUGGGGUUGCAGUUCACAUUUCAGUACCGAAGAGGAGCAGACAACGGGGCAGCUGACGCUCUGUCGCGGGUGGGCGCUGCCCUGAGCGUGGCUGCGCUCUCCCUCUGCCAGCCAGCUUGGGUGCAAGAGGUCGCCAAUUCUUACGCGACGGAUGCCACAGCGCAAGAGAUGCUCUCCCGCCUCGCCAUCCACAGCCCAGACGAGGAGGGGUUCGAGCUGCACAAAGGAUUGAUUCGCCGCGGUGACAGGCUCUGGAUCGGCAGCAACACGGCGCUCCGCACAAAGCUCAUCAGUGCGUUCCAUGACAGCGCGGUGGGGGGACACUCCGGCAUCACCGCCACGCACCAGCGUGUCAAGAAGCUCUUCCUCUGGCCUGGGCAGAAGCGCGACAUCGACGACUUCGUCAAGCAAUGCCUGGUGUGCCAGCAGGCGAAGCACGAGCACUGCCGGCCGCCUGGACAAUUGGCUCCCUUGCCUGUUCCCACGGCACCCUGGCAGGAGCUCACGAUGGACUUUGUCGAGGGGCUGCCGACCUCGGAAGGAUACGACUCCAUCAUGGUGGUCGUCGAUCGCCUUACCAAAUUUGCACAUUUCAUCCCCCUCCGUCACCCAUUCAACGCCACCAAGGUGGCACGAGCAUUCUGGGACAACGUCGUCAAGCUCCACGGCGUGCCAAAUUCGAUCGUCUCCGACCGCGAUCGCGUCUUCACCAGCGCGCUCUGGCGCGAGCUGUUUGCGGCCGCAGGCACCAAGCUGCUGUACUCUAUGGCUUACCACCCGCAGACGGACGGCCAGAGCGAGCGGGUCAACCAAUGCAUGGAGAUGUACCUGCGCUGUGCGAUCCACGACGACCCCAGUCGCUGGCGCCGGUGGCUUCCAGCCGCAGAAUUCUGGUACAAUUCCUCCUUCCACGCCUCCCUUAACUGCACCCCGUUCAAAGCUCUGUAUGGCACCGAGCCCAAUUUGGGGGCCACAGCACUCUGGGACGACAAGCCGGCGCCGGUCCUCGACAACGAGCAGUGGGACUGGGGCGCGCACACCGCCCGUCUUCGUCAGCAACUGCUGCGAGCUCAGCAACGCUUCAAGAAGAAGGCGGAUCGCCAUCGCACGGAACGAAGCUUUCAGGUGGGCGAGGACGUGCUGCUGAAGCUUCAGCCGUACGCGCAGUCCUCCGUCGUCAAUCGACCCUGCGCCAAGCUGGCCUACAAAUUCUUCGGGCCAUUCAAGGUGGAGGCCAAGAUUGGGACCCUCGCCUACAAAUUGAUGCUGCCGCCGGACAGUCGCAUCCACAACGUCUUCCACGUCUCCCAACUGAAGCCGUACACGCCCAACUACACGCCGGUCUUCGCUGAGCUGCCCAAGCCACCGGACCUGACUCUGGUGGAGACGGCGCCCGUGGAGAUCAUCGGCAGACGCAUGGUGAAGCGCGGCGACGCAGCUCUGGUUCAAGUUCAGGUGCGCUGGAACUCCGCUUCACCAGCAGCCGUGACAUGGGAGGAUUUCGAGACGCUCAAGCUUCGUUUCCCGGCCGCCGCAAUCUGGAGAGAGCCGGCCGGAGCGCCAGGUGACGCUCCUUCUGAUGGAGGGGGAAAUGUCACACCUGCACCCACUAGUGCCACGGUGGACCUGAUCAGCCAAUAG
rnacentral:rRNA from 1 species